GCAAGUCGAACGGUAGUCCUUGAGCUUGCUUAGGGAUGAGAGUGGCGAACGGGUGAGUAACACGUGGAUAAUCUGCCUCCGGGUUGGGGAUAACUGUCCGAAAGGAUAGCUAAUACCGAAUGAGAUGGCGGUUACAUAAGUAGCAGCCAUUAAAGGUGGGGACCGCAAGGCCUACUGCCUGGAGAUGAGUCCGCGGCUGAUUAGCUAGUUGGUGGGGUAACGGCCUACCAAGGCGACGAUCAGUAGCCGGCCUGAGAGGGUGAACGGCCACAUUGGGACUGAGAUACGGCCCAGACUCCUACGGGAGGCAGCAGUUAAGAAUCUUGCACAAUGGGCGCAAGCCUGAUGCAGCGACGCCGCGUGAAUGAUGAAGGCCUUCGGGUUGUAAAGUUCAGUAAGCAGGGAAGAAUAAGCAAGGGGUAAUAUUUCUUGUAAUGACGGUACCUGCCUAAAGCCCCGGCUAACUACGUG
rnacentral:rRNA from 1 species